UACGUAGGUGGCAAGCGAUACUCGGAAUCACUGGGCGUAAAGCGCAGGUAGGCGGUUCGGUAAGUCUUUUGUGAAAGCUCCUGGCUCAACUGGGAGAGGUCAAGGGAAACUACCGGGCUAGAGUUUGGUAGGGGAUACUGGAAUUCCUGGUGUAGCGGUGAAAUGCGUAGAUAUCAGGAGGAAUACCUAUGGCGAAAGCAGGUAUCUGGGCCACAACUGACGCUGAGCUGCGAAAGCUAGGGGAGCAAACAGG
rnacentral:rRNA from 1 species